rnacentral:rRNA from 1 species
UCGAGGGGCAGCGGGGAAGUAGCAAUACUUCCGCCGGCGACCGGCGCACGGGUGAGUAACACGUAUGGAACCUGCCCGUAGCAGGGGGAUAAGCGGAAGAAAUUCCGUCUAAUAUCGCGUAAUAACUCCGAGAGGCAUCUCCUGGGGUUUAAAGGGUAACACCGGCUACGGAUGGCCAUGCGGCGCAUUAGCUAGUUGGCGGGGUAACGGCCCACCAAGGCGACGAUGCGUAGGGGUUCUGAGAGGAAGGUCCCCCACACUGGUACUGAGACACGGACCAGACUCCUACGGGAGGCAGCAGUGAGGAAUAUUGGUCAAUGGGCGCGAGCCUGAACCAGCCAAGUCGCGUGAGGGAAGACGGUCCUAUGGAUUGUAAACCUCUUUUGUCGGGGAGCAAAAGACGCCACGUGUGGCGUUCCGAGAGUACCCGAAGAAAAAGCAUCGGCUAACUCCGUGCCAGCAGCCGCGGUAAUACGGAGGAUGCGAGCGUUAUCCGGAUUUAUUGGGUUUAAAGGGUGCGCAGGCGGAAGAUCAAGUCAGCGGUAAAAUUGAGAGGCUUAACCUCUUCGAGCCGUUGAAACUGGUUUUCUUGAGUGAGCGAGAAGUAUGCGGAAUGCGUGGUGUAGCGGUGAAAUGCA